rnacentral:rRNA from 1 species
UGGGGAAUUUUGCGCAAUGGGGGAAACCCUGACGCAGCAACGCCGCGUGCGGGACGAAGGCCCUCGGGUUGUAAACCGCUUUCAGCAGGGAAGAUCCAAGACGGUACCUGCAGAAGAAGCUCCGGCUAACUACGUGCCAGCAGCCGCGGUAAUACGUAGGGGGCGAGCGUUAUCCGGAUUCAUUGGGCGUAAAGCGCGCGUAGGCGGCCGCCUAAGCGGGACCUCUAACCCCGGGGCUCAACCCCGGGCCGGGUCCCGGACUGGGCGGCUCGAGUGCGGUAGAGGAGAGCGGAAUUCCCGGUGUAGCGGUGGAAUGCGCAGAUAUCGGGAAGAACACCGAUGGCGAAGGCAGCUCUCUGGGCCGUCACUGACGCUGAGGCGCGAAAGCUGGGGGAGCGAACA